GGUAUAUAGCUCAGUUGGUAGAGUCCUUGCCUUGCAUGCACAAGGCCCUGGGUUUGAUCCCCAGCACCA
rnacentral:tRNA from 1 species